UUCCAACUUUCAGCAAAAUGUUUGUGUCUCGCUUAUUGAUGAUAACGAUCAUUUUAAUGUGUUUUCUUUUUCCUAGCGCUUGACUAAUGAACGCGCGUCUGUAUCAAUAAAACGCACGACAAAUUUCUUCCGUAGCUUUACAGUUUAAUUACAUAAAAUAUAUGCAAAUGGAUAAAGAAAGAAAAAGCGUGGAGAAUAAUAUUAACGUUAAAUCGAAUCAUUUGUCCUUUCAUUUUGUAUCUUCUGCCAGGACUUUGUUCGUCGUUUAUCCAAGAUAAAUAUGAGCGGAGAUAAGAUUCUAUUGUUUUAUUUUGUACCGUUUUUAAAGAAGUUGUUUGAAAUAAUUUUAACUCGGGUUUUUCUAUUAUUUUUUUGAACGUUAAAUGUACAUUAUUCGUGAAGAUAGGAAGAUGGAAAACAUGUAGAAACAAUUUCCUCCUGUGUUUUCUAACCAGGUUAUUGAAACACAAUGAUAGUCAUUAUAAAGGAAUCUUAUAAUACGUAUACAGUUUCAUAAUGUAUCUCAUUUCCUUGCAUUUUUAUUUGAAUUCUAUAACAGAUCAUAGGAAUCAAAAGAGCAUGAAAUGUGCGAUAUAAUUGAAGAACUUAAUUGUAUCGUUGCCUCGAUAUUUUUCUACGAUAUCGAAUAACUUGCAAAGUUUUGCAUUCGUGUUUUUUAAGACUUUCGCCUCGUAGUUAAAACGAGAAGACGAUAUUAUACACUAUUUUUCUCUGAUUGUAUUACAAUAUUAUCGAAUUAAUAAACGGUGACGUAUUAUCGUUAUCUGUUACAGGAAGAUCGAUCGUCUAGCCGCGCUUAAUUAGAUAUACUAAACGAAUGUGUUGUAACUUGAUCAAUAAUUUUAUUCAUUCUCCGCCUCGAGCAGCAACCUAUAACAAGCCAAGAAUUAACGUAAAAAAUAUGUGCAAAAAAACUGUUUCUUAGAUUAUGUGUUAUUCAUUAGAUUGUAUUUGACGAUAGAACGAUAUUUUUCGAAUCGCUGUUUCACAUACCUAAUAAUUAAAUGCACGAUAAAUAUGUUGCCCUUUGGCUUUUCUGUCUUUAACGUUGAAUUUGGAAUCGUUGAAAUACAUUGAAUUGAAUUAUUAAUCAAUUAAGUCAUCAUAACUGUAGAAAAAAAGAGAAAAGGAAAAAGAGGAGAAAGGUUAUGGAAAUAUUGAUCAAUAUUCUCGAAUAUUUCCGUUAAGACCUUUCUAAAAAUUAAUUUCAUGAUUAACUGUACAACUGUACAGUUGCGAAUAGUAAAUGACGAGUUCGUAGGAAUGAAAAAAGCGUUAGAAAAUCUGAAAAUAUGAAAAAUAUAAUUAUUUAUUGCAAGAUCGCGAGAUUGAUUUCUUGCCUUCUCGACAGAUGGCGAGCAAAGUAUAUUCCAAAAAGAAUCAUCAGUCUCACUGCUACUUAAUUCAAUGUUAUUCGCGAAACGAGUUUAUAUAAUAUGAAAUGGAAAAUAUAAACGUUCAGAGAAGAAAGAGCAGUUUGUUUAUGAUAUCAUUUCCAUUAAACGUUCUCUUACUCCUUUGACACGUGAAAUAUCGUAUGCUUGAAAUCGAAGAGCAUAUUUCGACGGCUGAACAACAUUUUAAAUAUCAAUAAAUUAUUAAUAAAAACUAGAUAAAUCUUUUAUUUAUGCUUGUUAUUCUAAAAUUCAUAAAAUUAAUUCAUAAUUUUUUUAACAAAGACGUUUCGAUUUAACGUUCGAUUUAAGAAACGAAAGCACAUAAUGCUCGAACUUUGUCUUCAGACUUUGUAACUCUGUUGCAAUAGUCUUUAACGUAAAUUGCACUAUAAUCUAAAUCCGAUUUUAUCAAAUUUAGAAAUUAGAAAUUUUAUCUAAUCUCCGCUGUUAUACAAUAUCCAUAAGGAUGCGUACUUGACACAGGAAAUGACGUGAGGAACAGAAGAUAUACUGUAAUCGGAUUUUUGGAAAUUCACCAGUUUUAUUUUUUAUUUUAUUUUUAUUGCACGCGUUCGUACGGAACCGUGUGCCGUAUCUCCCCGCUUUUCUACGACGACCCAAACAUUUUUCCGAUGAUGUUGAGAAAGCAGGAACCGCGUAACGAUAUUACCGGCAAAGGAAUAUCACAAUUGAGAAACGAAAGACGAUCGAAACAUCUAUACCUUCGGGGAAAGAAGGAACAAUGUUGCCAUAAAUUAUGUUUGACGUGUAUGAAUUACACGACGCAGUAGAAGAGCAGGUUUUAUUAAAGAAAAAGAGAGGUUAUUAAACCGUGUAAGCAAUUCACUUUUUAUUCCUACAUGGUUCUUUUCUUUAUCACCUGUUUCCGAACAAAAUGGCCGUUGCAAACUACAUAGAAACAAUCCUAGUGAUCUUGUCUGUUCCGAUUCGACGAUUUUAUCGCGUGUUAUCCUGUCUGAAUCGCAUUCAAGUGUUAUUUAUGCGUCUAAGUCAGUGGAACGUUCAUCGAACCAUUUGCUAUCUGUCUCAAUCAACUUGUGUUAUCGAAUUCUAUUUUCGAACAACGUGGCUACGAAAGAGAAUGCCAAAGAUUCAACAUUUUAUUCACUUUGUUUCUUCCAACUAGACUUUACUAUUUUAUGACAUAUAUAUCUUUACGAUUUUAUCAGAUACAACGAAAUUGAUAUUUAUAAUGUAUAAAAUAUGACACGUGAAACUAUAAAAAUUGAUAAAUAUAAUAAAUAUAUAAAUAUCCAAUAAAUAUAUAGAUAUAUAAAUACACACAUACUUUGUAUAUUAUAAAUAUCAAUUUCAAAAAUAUAUUACAUGUAACAUAUAUUAUAAUUAAUGGAUGAAACAUUAACGGUUGGUGCUUGAUGAGUUAAGCAGUUUCAGAAACGAGAUGUCGAAACCGAUAAUAGCAGAAUAUCGCUUUAUAUUAAAAAAUCGAACGAGGGAACGAAUAAUUUAUUCCCAAGCUUCACGGAAUCGGUGAAGAACGUUUUACUCGAUUGCAAAUCACUCGUUACUAGACGAGAAUGACAAAAUCGUGGAAGAACACAAGGGGAAAAAUUCCGGAAUGAACAAAUACGAACGAAGCGUAUACUCGUGUUGAAUUUAUAAAGAAUUCAGGACGAGGAAGGAUACGUAUUCGCGCCAAAAAUCGAUCCAAUCGUGUCUUUCUAUCGCCACGAGAUUUCUCAAAUUUCAGAGCAAGACGAGAGAGAGGUUAUCGACACGUGUCAUCUCUGCUUUUAAUGUCGCGUUAAACGUUUCCAUACAUAGGUUAAAAACCUUCUUGCUCUUUGAGACGGAGACAAGACGAGACGUAAAAAUUCGAGAGUUAAGCGAAGAUUUACAUACGUGCCUACAUCCUUUAACGUUACAUUUUUAUACCAACAACUGGUUUAAAUCAAGUAUGCGGAACAAUUAAAUUUUCUAUUUAUUUUACGUAAUUCGAACGACCUUCCGGUUUCUCGGCGUGAAUGCAUUCUUUUCUUCCAAAAUAUUUUUCGCGAUUAUCAAUUGCACCAAACAUCCUGAAAAACAUCUGUCUGAUUUUACACGUAAUAACAGCACGCAGAACCGUUCGAGAAUUAUUCGUCGAAGAUGAACAGAUCCUGUUACACGAAAUCCGCGAAUAUCCUUAAACGCCACCGAAAAAGAAGUACCAUAGACUUGUCCGAACAAAGAGAGUAAUAUAAUCGCAGCGUUUGUGUUUAUGGAACAAUAACGCCAAUAAGAAGACUGAAAAAACCAUAAUUGGAAAACUACACGACAUUGGAGCAGGCGGCGAACGACGUGCGGAAAUCAGAAAAAAGAAGUGGCCAAGACAUCAGAGCCUCUCGAUGUAAGAAAUGUCGUAGACUUCUCUAACGUGACGCAUUAUUAGCGAUUCUUUAUUCUAGGCACAUGCGUUUCAGGGACGAUUAUAAUCGUCGACGUAUAUAACGUGUCGAGGAUCUUAGCUUAGACUUGAUAAAGUUGCGCGAUAGAAUUGCUCUAUCAAAGUACGGUAAUUAAUAAAUGAAGCUAUAAAUGGGUAUAUCUGGUUCUCAAGGUCUCGGAAAGUUUUUAAAGUUGGUUAAGACUUUAGAAAUUAACAAAAUUAGAACUCGUGUUGCAUCGCAUUAUUAUAAUUUAAUGAUUGCAAGGAGCAAGUAAUCUAUGGUAAUAGAUGCCUGCUAAAGCAGCCGAUAUUUAAGUACAGUUAUGGUUACGUCAAAACUUGUUUGAUCUGUCACUUAACCAAUUAACUGCGUUCGACGUGUAUACGCGUCAAUCCAGAACUUCAUUUUGGUGCGGUUGACGAGUAUACUCGUCGUGUGAAAUAAAAAAUUACCGUUUGCUAUAAAAGCUGGAAACUUUAGCAAAAUGUAAGUCAUGCUCCGUAUAAUAUAUUGCUUUUUAUAAAUCGAGUCAAUUAUUUUCCCCAGUGCAUCCCAUUUGUGUACUUUACUGCAUAUAUCCUAAUUGUUUUGCGUACUUCAUUAUUUUUUGACAAUUUUUAAGCUUUUAAUAACAGUACCGUUUUUCAACGAUGAAUCGUUGACUUCUUAACGAACAAGAAUGUAAUACUUCCUCAUUUGGCUAUAUUUUAUUUUAAGGGAUUGUUUAAACUAAAUUCCUGGAAAUUUGAAACUAAAGAUAACAAGUUAAGUGAAACGAGCGCCUUACCUCGGAUACUUUAUAAAUCUUUUCAUAUCAUGCGCAUUCUACUAAUUUAUAUGGUUUAAGACUUUUCACAGAUGCACUAAAGUUCGUAAUUUAUCUACUAACGAGGAAAGUCACUAAAUUUAAUCGGUGAUUUCAAUGACUGGUAAUACGAUAUCAUUUGGUAGGCGUACCGGAGGAAAAGUCUUAAAAUAUUAAAUAUCUUCCGGUUGUAGAAGACGAAUUUUGGAACAUGCGAAAUAAAUCUGCUGUUUAGAAGAGUAGAAGGACGUAAGAAGCUAUGUUAAGAUUGAAAAAACGUGCGAGAAUUAAUUCCCCGAGCAAAUAUUUGUCUCAACGAAGAAAAAAAUACUUUUCUGCUUACUUAUUAAAGACGUGUUUCUCGCAAUAUUUAGCAAAAAUCAGAAGAGCACGAUUACCUCGUGGAAAAAUGUGUUGUAGAAAGGAAAUUAAAAUAUUUCAAAAGCAAGAAAAUUUGCUGCUUUGACACGGUGAAUUAAGUUUUUCAUGAACAAAUCUAGAUAAGAGUGAUAAUUUAAAAAUGUCAAAUGUAAUUCUAAAUAUAUAUAUGCUACUUAAAUUAGUAAAAUAACCUUCAAUGCAGCUGAGGAUGAAGAAGAUAAAUAACGUUGUUUAUUAGAGGCGUAAAAGUCUGCUUUAAAGAUUGUGAUACGCGAGCUGAAAAAAUAGGAAGGAAUUCAAGGGACAAUCGGGCAAUGGUAUAGUAAAUAGAAACAUAAUUUUAAGGGAAAAUACCUAUUGUACAGUUUAUUUUAUACAUUCAACGACUCGUUUGAUUCAAGUACAAGAAUGAAAGCCUGUUUUCGCUUUGAAAUAUUAAUUCUUCCAUUAUUUCUAGAACAAUGAGGAGCAACAAACUCAUUGUUUGUUAUACAAAUACUUAUGAGAAUAAAACUGGUAUUCAAUUUUGAAACACUUCCAAUCCAACGACAAUACAUUCACUCUUCGGUAAACGAUCAUUCUCAUCUCUUCGAACAAAACAAAUCACUAUACGUUAUCGUCUUUCGAUACAAAACAAAAAAAAAAAAUAUAUAUAUAUUCAAUUCGUUCGCUAAAUUUUAUAAAAGUUAGAACGACGCAGUACGUUUGUGUAUUUGUUACAAAGAUCGCCGCGACAUUUUCACAUUAUCGGAUUAUUCUUUUCAACUUCGUAAAUUACUAUAUGUUUUAAGUAACUACAGGAAGGCGUAGCGGUCUCUUCGUUCGAGAUAACUUUAUGUUCAUUCGUUUGAACAGUCUCUAUUUUUACAGUGGACCAUUUCUCAUAGAAAUAUUAGAGUGAAACGACGGACAUGUCGAUCCGUGCAAGUUACCAUCAACAAUUAGAAAACAACGAAGAUAAACUAAGGUAAACCGAGGAAAAAAGAAGAAAAACAAAAAAGUAAAAGUAUAAAGCUUCCAAAAUAUUUGAUUUACAAAAAGGUGCAUUAAAAGCGUCUUAAAAGGAUGUGAAAGUUCCGCGAAGCAAUAAAUAAAAAUAAAAUCUACUACGAACAUAGAAACAAUGUUAAGCAAAAUAAAAAAGAAAAAAGAAGAAUAGAUCUAGCGCUAUCGUAAAAAUUACGCGAUAAUAAACGGAACUCGCACAUCAAUCGACUUCCGUGCAGGUUUGAAAUAAGCAAUAAAAAAAAAAAAAAAGAAAAAUAAA